rnacentral:lncRNA from 1 species
CAGCGGUCCCCUUCCAAGGAGCUGGGACUACAGGCACCAUGAUGGAUCCUGGGAAUGAUGAUAAUGAACGCAAUAGAUACAGCCUCUAUUCUUAGACAUCUUGCAUGUAUCAGGGAAGACAGGCACCAAGGCAUACUUACAACCAAAGCAUUCCACGACCAUGUGAUCCAGGAGAAUUCCAGGGUCAAGAGCCAGGGUAUUGGAAGCCAACCUGUCUACAGGUGACCAACACUGAACUUACUUUGGGAAACACUGUUCUAGGGUAAGAGGUCUCAUGUAUUUUUGGUGGGGAGAUCUUUUCAUGACUGAAAGACUCAAAAGGCCAUUUUUAUCCUCUGCCG